UACGAAGGGUGGCAAACGUUGCUCGGAAUCAUUGGCGUAAAGCGCACGUAGGCGGCCCCAAAGUUGGAUGUGAAAUCCCUCGGCUCAACCGAGGACGUGCAUCCAAAACUGUGGGGCUUGAGUACUGAAGAGGAUCGCGGAAUUCCCGGUGUAGAGGUGAAAUUCGUAGAUAUCGGGAGGAACACCGGUGGCGAAGGCGGGUCUCUGGGCAUCUCCUGACGCUGAGGCGCGAAAGCGUGGGGAGCAAACGGG
rnacentral:rRNA from 1 species